rnacentral:rRNA from 1 species
UACAGAGGUGGCAAGCGUUGUUCGGAAUUACUGGGCGUAAAGGGCGCGUAGGCGGCCAUCUAAGUCAGACGUGAAAUCCCCCGGCUUAACCUGGGAACUGCGUCUGAUACUGGAAGGCUUGAGUAUGGGAGAGGGAUGUAGAAUUCCAGGUGUAGCGGUGAAAUGCGUAGAUAUCUGGAGGAAUGCCGGUGGCGAAGGCGGCAUCCUGGACCAUUACUGACGCUGAGGCGCGAAAGCUAGGGGAGCAAACGGG